AGGGACCUUAAAGGUCAUCUUGUUCCACCCCCCUGCCAUGGGCAGGGAGGGACACUUUCCACCAGCCCAAGUUUCUCCAGGCACAGCCUGGAUGGGGUCCCCUCCAUGUGCGCGCUGAGAUCUCCCUUCCUGCAUCCCACCAGGCCCUGGAGCCAUUGCAAGGCACUGGAAGGAAUCCCAAAGCACAUUGUUGCCAUGAUAAAAGAAUAAGAGGUGAAACUCUAUUCCUUCCUUUCCCCAUCUCCGCAGUAUUCUCCGAAUCCCUGGACAGGAGGCUGUUGGGAUGAAAGUGCCAAACCAAGAUACAGGGCCCAAUCCUGCUGUUCCUGAUCCCACUCCUUGCCAAACUUCUUUUCCAUGGUGGGCUGAGGGGGCUGAGACUUGUCCCCCUGGGACUCAGAGUGUUCCUUCCCAGGGAGAACACAAGGACACAACAAGCCUUUUCCCACCCCCGCUGGAUGGAUCCCUCUUUGCCCCUGGAUGGAGGCAGCAGAGUGGCCACAGCUCUCACACACAGGGUCAUUAUCCUCAGGAAAUAACAACAUCCAGGCAAAGAUCA